CGCGACAUUCGUUAGAGAAUGUAGGAGAUGCGCAUGCAGAAGGAUCAUUA
rnacentral:rRNA from 1 species